UGGGGAAUUUUGGACAAUGGGGGCAACCCUGAUCCAGCAAUGCCGCGUGUGCGAAGAAGGCCUUCGGGUUGUAAAGCACUUUUGUCCGGGAAGAAAGCGUGCGGGCGAAUAGUCUGCGCGGAUGACGGUACUGGAAGAAUAAGCACCGGCUAACUACGUGCCAGCAGCCGCGGUAAUACGUAGGGUGCGAGCGUUAAUCGGAAUGACUGGGCGUAAAGGGUGCGCAGGCGGAUCGCUAAGAACGAUGUGAAAUCCCCGGGCUUAACCUGGGAAUGGCAUGGUUGACUGGCGGUCUAGAGUAUGGGAGAGGGGGGUAGAAUUCCACGUGUAGCAGUGAAAUGCGUAGAGAUGUGGAGGAAUACCGAUGGCGAAGGCAGCCCCCUGGGCCAAUACUGACGCUCAGGCACGAAAGCGUGGGGAGCAAACAGGAUUAGAUACCCCCGUAGUCC
rnacentral:rRNA from 1 species